UUUAAAUAAAAAAUAUUUUCGAUUUAGAAAUUAAUAACUUUUUAAAUCAUUUUGAAAGUCUACUUCCUGCUGGAUUCUGUAAGACUCCAAAAAUAACUCUGUUUGGCAGUGAUGUGAUCCAUUUUUGCGUGCUAUCCAUAAUUUUAUGCACAUAAAUUAAGCGUAUUUUGUUACAUUAAUUUUGGCGUAGUCCAAAGCAGGGCCAAAACAAGCUCAGUCUCAGUCGAAGUCGCAGCCGACGUCUUGCAUUUAUAAGGUUAGAGCAACAUAUUUGCAUGGUGAAGUAACUACACGAGAUCCGAUUUACAGUGGGUUCUGCAUUAUAAAUACAUUUUUACUACAAAUUUUAAAAUUUUCUUAGCCAAAAAAUGGGACAUUUCGUUUAUAAUAGUUGUUAUUAAAGAAUAUUAAUUAAAUAGUUAUUCUAUUUAAGACUGGUUUCAGUCGGUAUGCUUUUUUAGCCAGACUUCACUGUACAUAGCGAAGAAUGUGGGUUGCAAAAAACUAAAACCUAAGUGGUUUUUAAUGAAAUUUUGAAUGUAUACCUGUGUGUACAAAUGGCGAGUGCGCAAAGUAUUUCUAGUAUUGUUUGUAGGCCCACAUCGACGCACACCCACUUCCCAUUCCGAGUCCCAUUCCCAUUCCUGGGGUUCUACAUUUUUCCGUUGUCUUCUGCUUUUCGCAGGGUUGGCCCGUUGCGGUCUACUGCCAUCAGCUGGGCGUUGCAUGUGUGUGCGCGAGAGCAGCGUCAAUUAAAUAAAACGGGGAAAAGAACAAUAGCAUGCGAAUAGGGGACCGAAGCGCGGCAUACCCUCAUAGAGCCAUUAUAGCCACUCGGCCAGAGCUACAGAAACCAAACCUUCACAUGAUCCAUUGAAAACGCAUAAUACAUAAAGCUACCAAGUUUCAUAGCAAUCCCAUUUACAACAGCAGAGUUACAAUAGUUUGGAACAGUCUGUGCUGCGAAAAUACUCCCAAAGCAAUGUAUUUAACCAAUAUCCACUAUUAUCUUGAGUUAUUUUGUCGUUUACUCGAUUUAAUUAUACCUAUUUUUCAAAAAAGGGUAUAGAAAACAUUGCCGACAAUGAAAAAUUCAAAUAAAGAUGCCAUUUUUUGCGUCGCUUUCCACCUCUAAUUACACAAAUUGAAAAGCGCACACGUGAGCUCUGCUUUUCGCGCUUUUGUGGGUGUGUACUGGCACACGUGUGUGCAUCCAGCACCGGACACGCCCAGAUCCCGGGCAGAUAUACCACCCGGCCCCCAGGAGUCCGCCGGAAUCCGGAUUGAGCCGGGCGCAAAGCGGAAAGCAUUGCGUGAGGCCCCGAAUCGCAUAAUGCCCGGGGUACUUAGGCCCAGAUCGUGCCAAGUAGAUAGUUAAAUCCAGUGGACCCGCCUCUUCCCAGUGGGUGCGACAUGCAAGGAGCUCAUUUUAAAUCCCAUCCAAGUUUUAUGGGCCAACAUAAACAUAGCACAAUCUUGUAAAAACAGAGGGCUCCCUAAUGAAGCAAGUUUAAUUUGCGUUAAAGAGAUUAUUAUAUAUUUUUCUUGAGGUCUCUAACUAUCUAACUAUCAUAUUUGCCAAGUUCCUAAAAAGUUCCAAAGCUGGAGGGUUCCUUAACACUUCAAAGAGAUAAUAAUAUUUAACUAUCAUAACUAUCAUAUCAAUAUGCAAUCCUAUAGGAGUUCUACUCAUUUAAAACCUGUAACUUCGAGGUAUUUUAGUUGCAACUUGCAAUGCAGUCUGUUAAUGAACUUGGGAGAACUGUUGCAAACAGGUUUUGUAUGAAUAAUAAUGACAAACUACCCAUUUGGUUGGGGAAACAAUUUAGUUUAUAUGAAACGUGUGGGAUUGGAGUUUAUUGCACACUUUCGUGGAGAAACUGCACAGACACUAAAUUAAAUAAAACUCGUAAUAAAAUCUGGGCUAACGAGUAAAAAUAAAUUUCCUUAAAGGCCAACAAAUAUUGAACAAAUUUGCUAUCUUGCCCAGUUAGUCACAUAAACAUUGCGUGAAAAAUACUUGUUAUUCAAAUUGGUUAAUGGACAACGCAGUUUUUGUGAUUGAGUGUUUUGCGCCUCCAUCUCCCGCAUAAUUUCCUUGGGCAACCAGAAAAUUUGCAUUAUCAGUAGCACAGAGCCCGUAACUCAUUGCUCAUGCCACAUCUUCAGGCCCUUAUCCCUCAUUUUCUCCCUUUUUUCACACUCUCAUGCGGGUCGAUUGAAAAACAAUCUCACUGGCGCCCAGCGCCUCUGUUAUCAGGCCCAUAAACACUAUUAUACUGACGGACACGUAGGCCCAUUUCGAUUCACCAACUGCCAAUAAAUAAUAAUGAAAACUAUAAGUGCGUGAAACUGUGUGUUUAUUUCAAUGGCGAUUAACUAAACUGCUGAUAAGGCAGCGCCUAGUAAGUGUGUGUAGGUGAACGUGAUAAGUCGGAAUAAGUUGAGGCUGAGUCAGAAAAACCGGCACCUGACCGAACCGAAUCGCUAUAACCGAUCUUGGGCGAUAGCUCCGAAGUUAUGUAGGCGUGACGCAGCUCUAUAGAUUUCCAAUAAGAUGGUGACUCAUCCGAAAUCCAGGUGACUUUCAGAGUGGGAAAACUAGAUGGAGUGCCGACAGGUUCUGGUAAUAGAACUAGUAAUAUCUUAUAAUGUUAAAACAAAAUGUUAGAAAUAUAAACUAAACUUACAAUUUUGAAAUAUUAUAGUAAUAUAUCAUUCCAAAUUCUGAUCAUUCCUUGAAAACUCUAUAAAAACCAUCAUAGCAUGUAACAAUUUUUAGAAAUAUAAACCAAUUCUGAAAUGUAUAGUAAUAUAUCAUUCCGAAGUUCGAUUUCUCUUUAAAAUCCCUAUUUAAACAUAUUUUUUUUAUCAACAUACAUUUAUCCCAACUUAAUAUAGGCUUCCCGAGCGUGUCCAUUCAUCCUUCGCAACUUUUGAUUGACAAACAUAUGUAUAUCUCACCCAUGAGUCACGAGUUGGACUUGAGUCCAGCUCAAAGCCGAUUCCGAGUUUUUGAAAUGAAUCAUCGUCCCCCAAAACGUAAAGUACACUUAUUCGUUGGCGUUGCUUUGCAUAUGAAACAGCUUAAAAUUGUUAUGAUACAAAAAACCUAGGGAACCCUCAAGAUGAUGGCGAAUAGAAAACAAAGUCCGUGGUAAAAUAACACAAAACCUGGCAAAAAAAAAACAAUAGUCCAAAGUUAAACGGGCUGAACGGUAAAACCACGAAAUGGGUAAAAAUAAAAAUAUAAACCAAAUCCCGCUCGGAACGAAAAAAUUAUAAAUAAUUGAGCCGGGAGAACCGUUUAGCAUAAAAACACACAAACACCCCAGAGACGACGAUGAUGAUCGUGGCUAUGGAUCUUAAUGAUGGUAAUGGCCAUGAUCAUCGGAAACCGUUUGGCGAUCUCUUGAAAAGCACAGACACCUGCCCAGAGACAAAGUAGUGAAGUAGAUGUACACCUGUCAAAAAUAUGGUAUAGAAAUAGAGUUAAAUGUUGGAAAAUAAAAUGUUAAAAAUGGAAGAACCUUAAUAAAUAUAAAAAUUAAA